CAGGUAGACUUCGGCCGAGCUUCUUCGUAGCCGGAUCCCAGACGAGCUUCUACCAUGGGGCGGGAUCCAUCGGCCAGGUUGUUACUCUGAGCUCCCACGACAAUCGAUCUUCGAUCGAGCUCCAACAAUAAGCGGCCUCCUUUCGGCCUACCACAAGAACCGGACUCCGUCCGAGCUUCCACAGCGGAUGGAUUCCAGACGAGCUUUUGUAAUGGACGGGCUCCAGCAACUGGAUUUCUACAACGAC
rnacentral:lncRNA from 1 species